GCGAUGAGCUUAUUUUGCAUAAGACGAGAUUGACCCGCCGAUUUUAGGCAAUGCACAAUGUGGAGUGCUGUCUCUCGCCGCAAAACGCCAAAAAGACGUUCUUUUAGGACGUCUU
rnacentral:sRNA from 1 species